GACGAACGCUGGCGGCGUGCCUAAUACAUGCAAGUCGAACGCACAGUUUAUACCGUAGCUUGCUACACCAUAGACUGUGAGUUGCGAACGGGUGAGUAACGCGUAGGUAACCUGCCUGGUAGCGGGGGAUAACUAUUGGAAACGAUAGCUAAUACCGCAUAAUAUUAAUUAUUGCAUGAUAAUUAAUUGAAAGGUGCAAUUGCACCACUACCAGAUGGACCUGCGUUGUAUUAGCUAGUAGGUGAGGUAACGGCUCACCUAGGCGACGAUACAUAGCCGAACUGAGAGGGUGAUCGGCCACACUGGGAGUGAGACACGGCCCAGACGCCUACGGGAGGCAGCAGUAGGGAAUCGUCGGCAAUGGACGAAAGUCUGACCGAGCAACGCCGCGUGAGUGAAGAAGGUUUUCGGAUCGGAAAGCUCUGUUGUAAGGGAAGAACGGGCGUGAGAGUGGAAAGUUCACACUGUGACGGUAUCUGACCAGAAAGGGACGGCUAACUACGUG
rnacentral:rRNA from 1 species